rnacentral:rRNA from 1 species
GAGUAACACGUGGGUAACCUACCUAUAAGACUGGAAUAACUUCGGGAAACCGGAGCUAAUGCCGGAUAACAUUUGGAACCGCAUGGUUCUAAAGUAAAAGAUGGUUUUGCUAUCACUUAUAGAUGGACCCGCGCCGUAUUAGCUAGUUGGUAAGGUAACGGCUUACCAAGGCAACGAUACGUAGCCGACCUGAGAGGGUGAUCGGCCACACUGGAACUGAGACACGGUCCAGACUCCUACGGGAGGCAGCAGUAGGGAAUCUUCCGCAAUGGACGAAAGUCUGACGGAGCAACGCCGCGUGAGUGAUGAAGGUUUUCGGAUCGUAAAACUCUGUUAUUAGGGAAGAACAAAUGUGUAAGUAACUGUGCACAUCUUGACGGUACCUAAUCAGAAAGCCACGGCUAACUACGUGCCAGCAGCCGCGGUAAUACGUAGGUGGCAAGCGUUAUCCGGAAUUAUUGGGCGUAAAGCGCGCGUAGGCGGUUUCUUAAGUCUGAUGUGAAAGCCCACGGCUCAACCGUGGAGGGUCAUUGGAAACUGGGAAACUUGAGUACAGAAGAGGAAAGUGGAAUUCCAUGUGUAGCGGUGAAAUGCGCAGAGAUAUGGAGGAACACCAGUGGCGAAGGCGACUUUCUGGUCUGUAACUGACGCUGAUGUGCGAAAGCGUGGGGAUCAAACAGGAUUAGAUACCCUGGUAGUCCACGCCGUAAA